AUCUGAAGCCUCUGGUUGAGAUCCUGGAGAGUUCAGUCAGUAAAGUGAAGAAUCUGAGAUUGAGGUGCUGCAGUUUGUCAGAGACCAGCUGGACUUCUCUGUUCUCAGCUCUGAAGUCCAAACCGACCCAUCUGACAGAACUGGACCUGAUCAGCACCAACCUGGAAGGUUCUGGACUGAAGGAGCUCUGUGGUUUUCUACAGACUGAAGGCUGCAGACUGGAGACAUUGGAAUUGGAUCACUGCAGUUUGUCAGAGACCAGCUGGACUUCUCUGUUCUCAGCUCUGAAGUCCAACCCGACCCGUCUGACAAAGCUGGACCUGGGCAGAACCAACCUGGAAGGUUUUGGACUGAAGAAGCUCUGUGGUUUUCUACAGACUGAAGGCUGCAGACUGGAGACAUUGAUAUUGUGGUUCUGCAGUUUGUCAAAGAUCAGCUGUGAUUAUUUGGCCUCAACUCUGAAGUCCAACCCGACCCGUCUGACAGAACUGAACCUGAGAUACAACAACCUGAAGGAUUCAGAUGUUCAGCAGCUGAAGAAUCUUGUAAAGACUUUAGAGAUCUGAUCUCUGUGAAGUAGAAAAUGGUCUCAGUGUCCUGCUGAUCCU